rnacentral:rRNA from 1 species
UUAAGCGACUAAGCGUACACGGUGGAUGCCCUGGCAGUCAGAGGCGAUGAAGGACGUGCUAAUCUGCGAUAAGCGUCGGUAAGGUGAUAUGAACCGUUAUAACCGGCGAUUUCCGAAUGGGGAAACCCAGUGUGUUUCGACACACUAUCAUUAACUGAAUCCAUAGGUUAAUGAGGCGAACCGGGGGAACUGAAACAUCUAAGUACCCCGAGGAAAAGAAAUCAACCGAGAUUCCCCCAGUAGCGGCGAGCGAACGGGGAGCAGCCCAGAGCCUGAAUCAGUGUGUGUGUUAGUGGAAGCGUCUGGAAAGGCGCGCGAUACAGGGUGACAGCCCCGUACACAAAAAUGCACAUGCUGUGAGCUCGAUGAGUAGGGCGGGACACGUGGUAUCCUGUCUGAAUAUGGGGGGACCAUCCUCCAAGGCUAAAUACUCCUGACUGACCGAUAGUGAACCAGUACCGUGAGGGAAAGGCGAAAAGAACCCCGGCGAGGGGAGUGAAAAAGAACCUGAAACCGUGUACGUACAAGCAGUGGGAGCACAGAGCAAUCUGUGUGACUGCGUACCUUUUGUAUAAUGGGUCAGCGACUUAUAUUCUGUAGCAAGGUUAACCGAAUAGGGGAGCCGAAGGGAAACCGAGUCUUAACUGGGCGUUAAGUUGCAGGGUAUAGACCCGAAACCCGGUGAUCUAGCCAUGGGCAGGUUGAAGGUUGGGUAACACUAACUGGAGGACCGAACCGACUAAUGUUGAAAAAUUAGCGGAUGACUUGUGGCUGGGGGUGAAAGGCCAAUCAAACCGGGAGAUAGCUGGUUCUCCCCGAAAGCUAUUUAGGUAGCGCCUCGUGAAUUCAUCUCCGGGGGUAGAGCACUGUUUCGGCAAGGGGGUCAUCCCGACUUACCAACCCGAUGCAAACUGCGAAUACCGGAGAAUGUUAUCACGGGAGACACACGGCGGGUGCUAACGUCCGUCGUGAAGAGGGAAACAACCCAGACCGCCAGCUAAGGUCCCAAAGUCAUGGUUAAGUGGGAAACGAUGUGGGAAGGCCCAGACAGCCAGGAUGUUGGCUUAGAAGCAGCCAUCAUUUAAAGAAAGCGUAAUAGCUCACUGGUCGAGUCGGCCUGCGCGGAAGAUGUAACGGGGCUAAACCAUGCACCGAAGCUGCGGCAGCGACACUAUGUGUUGUUGGGUAGGGGAGCGUUCUGUAAGCCUGCGAAGGUGUGCUGUGAGGCAUGCUGGAGGUAUCAGAAGUGCGAAUGCUGACAUAAGUAACGAUAAAGCGGGUGAAAAGCCCGCUCGCCGGAAGACCAAGGGUUCCUGUCCAACGUUAAUCGGGGCAGGGUGAGUCGACCCCUAAGGCGAGGCCGAAAGGCGUAGUCGAUGGGAAACAGGUUAAUAUUCCUGUACUUGGUGUUACUGCGAAGGGGGGACGGAGAAGGCUAUGUUGGCCGGGCGACGGUUGUCCCGGUUUAAGCGUGUAGGCUGGUUUUCCAGGCAAAUCCGGAAAAUCAAGGCUGAGGCGUGAUGACGAGGCACUACGGUGCUGAAGCAACAAAUGCCCUGCUUCCAGGAAAAGCCUCUAAGCAUCAGGUAACAUCAAAUCGUACCCCAAACCGACACAGGUGGUCAGGUAGAGAAUACCAAGGCGCUUGAGAGAACUCGGGUGAAGGAACUAGGCAAAAUGGUGCCGUAACUUCGGGAGAAGGCACGCUGAUAUGUAGGUGAAGCGACUUGCUCGUGGAGCUGAAAUCAGUCGAAGAUACCAGCUGGCUGCAACUGUUUAUUAAAAACACAGCACUGUGCAAACACGAAAGUGGACGUAUACGGUGUGACGCCUGCCCGGUGCCGGAAGGUUAAUUGAUGGGGUCAGCGCAAGCGAAGCUCUUGAUCGAAGCCCCGGUAAACGGCGGCCGUAACUAUAACGGUCCUAAGGUAGCGAAAUUCCUUGUCGGGUAAGUUCCGACCUGCACGAAUGGCGUAAUGAUGGCCAGGCUGUCUCCACCCGAGACUCAGUGAAAUUGAACUCGCUGUGAAGAUGCAGUGUACCCGCGGCAAGACGGAAAGACCCCGUGAACCUUUACUAUAGCUUGACACUGAACAUUGAGCCUUGAUGUGUAGGAUAGGUGGGAGGCUUUGAAGUGUGGACGCCAGUCUGCAUGGAGCCGACCUUGAAAUACCACCCUUUAAUGUUUGAUGUUCUAACGUGGACCCGUAAUCCGGGUUGCGGACAGUGUCUGGUGGGUAGUUUGACUGGGGCGGUCUCCUCCUAAAGAGUAACGGAGGAGCACGAAGGUUGGCUAAUCCUGGUCGGACAUCAGGAGGUUAGUGCAAUGGCAUAAGCCAGCUUGACUGCGAGCGUGACGGCGCGAGCAGGUGCGAAAGCAGGUCAUAGUGAUCCGGUGGUUCUGAAUGGAAGGGCCAUCGCUCAACGGAUAAAAGGUACUCCGGGGAUAACAGGCUGAUACCGCCCAAGAGUUCAUAUCGACGGCGGUGUUUGGCACCUCGAUGUCGGCUCAUCACAUCCUGGGGCUGAAGUAGGUCCCAAGGGUAUGGCUGUUCGCCAUUUAAAGUGGUACGCGAGCUGGGUUUAGAACGUCGUGAGACAGUUCGGUCCCUAUCUGCCGUGGGCGCUGGAGAACUGAGGGGGGCUGCUCCUAGUACGAGAGGACCGGAGUGGACGCAUCACUGGUGUUCGGGUUGUCAUGCCAAUGGCACUGCCCGGUAGCUAAAUGCGGAAGAGAUAAGUGCUGAAAGCAUCUAAGCACGAAACUUGCCCCGAGAUGAGUUCUCCCUGACUCCUUGAGAGUCCUGAAGGAACGUUGAAGACGACGACGUUGAUAGGCCGGGUGUGUAAGCGCAGCGAUGCGUUGAGCUAACCGGUACUAAUGAACCGUGAGGCUUAACCUU